rnacentral:rRNA from 1 species
AUAAUGGGUCAGCGACUUAUAUUCUGUAGCAAGGUUAACCGAAUAGGGGAGCCGAAGGGAAACCGAGUCUUAACUGGGCGUUAAGUUGCAGGGUAUAGACCCGAAACCCGGUGAUCUAGCCAUGGGCAGGUUGAAGGUUGGGUAACACUAACUGGAGGACCGAACCGACUAAUGUUGAAAAAUUAGCGGAUGACUUGUGGCUGGGGGUGAAAGGCCAAUCAAACCGGGAGAUAGCUGGUUCUCCCCGAAAGCUAUUUAGGUAGCGCCUCGUGAAUUCAUCUCCGGGGGUAGAGCACUGUUUCGGCAAGGGGGUCAUCCCGACUUACCAACCCGAUGCAAACUGCGAAUACCGGAGAAUGUUAUCACGGGAGACACACGGCGGGUGCUAACGUCCGUCGUGAAGAGGGAAACAACCCAGACCGCCAGCUAAGGUCCCAAAGUCAUGGUUAAGUGGGAAACGAUGUGGGAAGGCCCAGACAGCCAGGAUGUUGGCUUAGAAGCAGCCAUCAUUUAAAGAAAGCGUAAUAGCUCACUGGUCGAGUCGGCCUGCGCGGAAGAUGUAACGGGGCUAAACCAUGCACCGAAGCUGCGGCAGCGACGCUGAUGCGUUGUUGGGUAGGGGAGCGUUCUGUAAGCCUGUGAAGGUGUGCUGUGAGGCAUGCUGGAGGUAUCAGAAGUGCGAAUGCUGACAUAAGUAACGAUAAAGCGGGUGAAAAGCCCGCUCGCCGGAAGACCAAGGGUUCCUGUCCAACGUUAAUCGGGGCAGGGUGAGUCGACCCCUAAGGCGAGGCCGAAAGGCGUAGUCGAUGGGAAACAGGUUAAUAUUCCUGUACUUGGUGUUACUGCGAAGGGGGGACGGAGAAGGCUAUGUUGGCCGGGCGACGGUUGUCCCGGUUUAAGCGUGUAGGCUGGUUUUCCAGGCAAAUCCGGAAAAUCAAGGCUGAGGCGUGAUGACGAGGCACUACGGUGCUGAAGCAACAAAUGCCCUGCUUCCAGGAAAAGCCUCUAAGCAUCAGGUAACAUCAAAUCGUACCCCAAACCGACACAGGUGGUCAGGUAGAGAAUACCAAGGCGCUUGAGAGAACUCGGGUGAAGGAACUAGGCAAAAUGGUGCCGUAACUUCGGGAGAAGGCACGCUGAUAUGUAGGUGAAGCGACUUGCUCGUGGAGCUGAAAUCAGUCGAAGAUACCAGCUGGCUGCAACUGUUUAUUAAAAACACAGCACUGUGCAAACACGAAAGUGGACGUAUACGGUGUGACGCCUGCCCGGUGCCGGAAGGUUAAUUGAUGGGGUCAGCGCAAGCGAAGCUCUUGAUCGAAGCCCCGGUAAACGGCGGCCGUAACUAUAACGGUCCUAAGGUAGCGAAAUUCCUUGUCGGGUAAGUUCCGACCUGCACGAAUGGCGUAAUGAUGGCCAGGCUGUCUCCACCCGAGACUCAGUGAAAUUGAACUCGCUGUGAAGAUGCAGUGUACCCGCGGCAAG